rnacentral:rRNA from 1 species
AGAGUUUGAUCAUGGCUCAGGAUGAACGCUAGCGGCAGGCUUAACACAUGCAAGUCGAGGGGCAGCAUACCCAGCAAUGGGUGAUGGCGACCGGCGGAAGGGUGCGUAACGCGUGAGCAACAUACCCUAUACAGGGGGAUAAGCCAGGGAAACUUGGUCUAAUAUCCCAUAGGAAAUAGAUAAGGCAUCUUGUUUAUUUUAAAGCUUCGGUGGUAUAGGAUUGGCUCGCGUGACAUUAGCUAGAUGGAGGGGUAACGGCCCACCAUGGCAAUGAUGUCUAGGGGUUCUGAGAGGAAGAUCCCCCACACUGGGACUGAGACACGGCCCAGACUCCUACGGGAGGCAGCAGUGAGGAAUAUUGGACAAUGGAUGGAAAUCUGAUCCAGCCAUGCCGCGUGCAGGAAGACGGCCCUAUGGGUUGUAAACUGCUUUUAUACGGGAGCAAUAAGGUCUAUGCAUAGAUUGAUGAGAGUACCGUAUGAAUAAGCAUCGGCUAACUCCGUGCCAGCAGCCGCGGUAAUACGGAGGAUGCGAGCGUUAUCCGGAUUUAUUGGGUUUAAAGGGUGCGUAGGCGGCUUUGUAAGUCAGCGGUGAAAUUUUG